UACGUAGGGGGCGAGCGUUGUCCGGAUUUAUUGGCGGUAAGACGCACGCAGGCGGUUUCGUAAGUUUGGAGUGACAGUGCUCGGCUCAACUGAGCAAGGCCUCUGAAAACUGCGGGACUUGAGGACCAGAGAGGGACAUGGAAUUCCGGGUGGAGUGGUGAAAUGCGUAGAUAUCCGGAGGAAUACCAAAGGCGAAGGCAGUGUCCUGGCUGGUAACUGACGCUCAGGUGCGAAAGCUAGGGGAGCGAACAGG
rnacentral:rRNA from 1 species